CUGCUCAAGAAAGUUCAUUUCAUCAUGGCAUUCAAAUUCUUGCAUUAAUUAAAAGAAAUGAAGCUAUAAUUGGUGAUUUUAGCUUGUGACAUAUACUGCAGUUGUGCAAGAACCUCAGCAAGUUGUCUCUACUGUUCCAAGCUCGUUUCACUCGUCCGAUCUGGCUGACAAAGCACAAGGCUCAUAUGAUGUGUUGGUGUGUGAAAGCACUCUGGAGAUCUUCAUUGCAACAGCCUUGUGUGCUAAAGGCCUUAGAGUAGCCAUUGUAGAAAGGAAUGUAUUAAAAGGGAGGGAGCAAGAAUGGAACAUAUCAAGAAAGGAGCUUGUGGAACUAGUGGAAGUUGGAGUCCUGGAAAAAGAAGAUAUUGAUAGAGCCACAGCCGCAAAGUUCAAUCCAAAUAGAUGUGGCUUUGAAAGGAAAGGUGACAUCUGAGUUGAGGACAUUCUUAAUCUUGAUAUUUCGUAAGUCCUCAUUCCUUAGAUUACUAAUUCGGUAUCCCUAUACCAGUAAUGAACUAGAGUAAAGUCCUGAAUUUCAAUUAUGAAUGAAUGAUUUUAAUUUAUCAAUGAGUGUAUGAACAGGAAGAAGUGUAUGAAAGAAGAAGAAGAAGAGAUGAACAAGACGAAGAGAUGAAGUGUUUGAGAAUUUGGAGAUUUAGGGUUACAUAUAAUAGGAGGGACCAAUCUGAGUACAAACUGAAAAUUAGUCAGCUCAGCUAGCCGUUGGCCCCUCUAGCGUGGCAAACCGAGUCCACGUCAGCGCUCCGGUGAUGAUUCAUCACCAGAAAUAUGUCCAAGGACCACUUUGAGUGCUCGGAGCUCUAUCUGGAGGAC